GGGUAUUCCUUAAAUACUUAAAUAGUGUAUGUGUUCGCCUCACAGUUUCGUGGCGACGGCUUGUGUACACUUCACAUUUGUAGAUUUGCAUGUUUACUUGGGGAGAUCAACUAAACGACAAUAUUUAAUCUUCUCGAUUUUUUAUUACAAGUAACUAUUUACCUAAUGUUCAUAUCAGUGCAAAAAAAAAUUGUAGAUAAAGACGAAGCCAGAGCCAAAAACAUCGAUUACCAUUCUCAUCUGUCAAAAUAUACAACACAUAUUCCCUCACAAAACUAUGAAAAAAACACCUAAUAAAAUACAAAAAGUAUAACAAUCUACAAAAAUAAGUGACAAGACGUCCUGAAACAUUGUAAAUAAAACAAAUAUUUAAACCGCCAGCCAUUGUCCAUCUUGUCACAGGGAGUGGCAGUGAAGGCGGACCCAGAUUUUUGUGUGUUUUCUGUGUACCCACGCCUACCAAGUACUCAUCAGGGUCCCCAUAUGACUUAAACCUCCCCUGGUUGGUGAUACAGAAGGCGGAGUGACUGCCACAGACUCCAGGAUGAAAGACUGAAAUACAAGCUGACCUGAACCAGAGGGAGAGAAAGCUACUAUACGGUGAGUACAGCAGUGAUAUCUGUGAGUCAACGUCACUGGUUCGCAUAACAACACGCAUCAAGGCACAGAAAGGUGAGGACAAGUUGCUGUUCUCACGCAUCAAGGCACAGAAAGGUGAGGACAAGUUGCUGUUCUCACGCAUCAAGGCACAGAAAGGGAAGUUGUCCUCAAACUUUGGAGGGAAGAGCAGCUCCUCCUUGAGCCGCGUCAUGACGGCCAGGCGCUCCAUGCCCGUCCCAAAGGGCACCAGCAUCUCAAAGAACACCAGGCCCAGUGUGUGGCAGGCGUGUAG